rnacentral:rRNA from 1 species
GACGAACGCUGGCGGCGUGCCUAAUACAUGCGAGUUGAGCGAUGAAGAUUGGUGCUUGCACCAAUUUGAAGAGCAGCGAACGGGUGAGUAACGCGUGGGGAAUCUGCCUUUGAGCGGGGGACAACAUUUGGAAACGAAUGCUAAUACCGCAUAACAACUUUAAACAUAAGUUUUAAGUUUGAAAGAUGCAAUUGCAUCACUCAAAGAUGAUCCCGCGUUGUAUUAGCUAGUUGGUGAGGUAAAGGCUCACCAAGGCGAUGAUACAUAGCCGACCUGAGAGGGUGAUCGGCCACAUUGGGACUGAGACACGGCCCAAACUCCUUCGGGAGGCAGCAGUAGGGAAUCUUCGGCAAUGGACGAAAGUCUGACCGAGCAACGCCGCGUGAGUGAAGAAGGUUUUCGGAUCGUAAAACUCUGUUGGUAGAGAAGAACGUUGGUGAGAGUGGAAAGCUCAUCAAGUGACGGUAACUACCCAGAAAGGGACGGCUAACUACGUG